AUUGAACGCUGGCGGCAUGCUUAAUACGUGCAAGUCGAGCGGACUUGAUGAGAAGCUUGCUUCUCAGAUAGUUAGCGGCGGACGGGUGAGUAACACGUAGGCAACCUGCCCUCAAGCUUGGGACAACUACCGGAAACGGUAGCUAAUACCGAAUACUUGUUUUCUUCGCCUGAAGGAAACUGGAAAGACGGAGUAAUCUGUCACUUGGGGAUGGGCCUGCGGCGCAUUAGCUAGUUGGUGAGGUAACGGCUCACCAAGGCGACGAUGCGUAGCCGACCUGGGAGGGUGAUCGGCCACACUGGGACUGAGACACGGCCCAGACUCCUACGGGAGGCAGCAGUAGGGAAUCUUCCGCAAUGGGCGAAAGCCUGACGGAGCAAUGCCGCGUGAGUGAUGAAGGUUUUCGGAUCGUAAAGCUCUGUUGCCAGGGAAGAACGCUUGGGAGAGUAACUGCUCCCAAGGUGACGGUACCUGAGAAGAAAGCCCCGGCUAACUACGUGCCAGCCGCCGCGGUAA
rnacentral:rRNA from 1 species